GUCAGGAUGGCCGAGCGGUCUAAGGCUCCAGACUCAAGAUCUGGAGGCGUGGGUUCAAAUCCCACUUCUGACA